rnacentral:miRNA from 1 species
GAAGAGGCCUAUUUAGUGUGAGGUCUAACAUCAGAUGUCUUCAUCUGGUUGGCCUCUUGUA